rnacentral:rRNA from 1 species
GCUAUACAUGCAGUCGAGCGAACAGACAAGGAGCUUGCUCCUUUGACGUUAGCGGCGGACGGGUGAGUAACACGUGGGUAACCUACCUAUAAGACUGGGAUAACUUCGGGAAACCGGAGCUAAUACCGGAUAAUAUUUCGAACCGCAUGGUUCGAUAGUGAAAGAUGGUUUUGCUAUCACUUAUAGAUGGACCCGCGCCGUAUUAGCUAGUUGGUAAGGUAACGGCUUACCAAGGCGACGAUACGUAGCCGACCUGAGAGGGUGAUCGGCCACACUGGAACUGAGACACGGUCCAGACUCCUACGGGAGGCAGCAGUAGGGAAUCUUCCGCAAUGGGCGAAAGCCUGACGGAGCAACGCCGCGUGAGUGAUGAAGGUCUUCGGAUCGUAAAACUCUGUUAUUAGGGAAGAACAUACGUGUAAGUAACUGUGCACGUCUUGACGGUACCUAAUCAGAAAGCCACGGCUAACUACGUGCCAGCAGCCGCGGUAAUACGUAGGUGGCAAGCGUUAUCCGGAAUUAUUGGGCGUAAAGCGCGCGUAGGCGGUUUUUUAAGUCUGAUGUGAAAGCCCACGGCUCAACCGUGGAGGGUCAUUGGAAACUGGAAAACUUGAGUGCAGAAGAGGAAAGUGGAAUUCCAUGUGUAGCGGUGAAAUGCGCAGAGAUAUGGAGGAACACCAGUGGCGAAGGCGACUUUCUGGUCUGUAACUGACGCUGAUGUGCGAAAGCGUGGGGAUCAAACAGGAUUAGAUACCCUGGUAGUCCACGCCGUAAACGAUGAGUGCUAAGUGUUAAGGGGGUUUCCGCCCCUUAGUGCUGCAGCUAACGCAUUAAGCACUCCGCCUGGGGAGUACGACCGCAAGGUUGAAACUCAAAGGAAUUGACGGGGACCCGCACAAGCGGUGGAGCAUGUGGGUUUAAUUCGAAGCAACGCGAAGAACCUUACCAAAUCUUGACAUCCUUUGACAACUCUAGAGAUAGAGCCUUCCCCUUCGGGGGACAAAGUGACAGGUGGUGGCAUGGUUGUCGUCAGCUCGUGUCGUGAGAUGUUGGGGUUAAGUCCCGCAACGAGCGCAACCCUUAAGCUUAGUUGCCAUCAUUAAGUUGGGCACUCUAAGUUGACUGCCGGGGGAGCGGUGCUAUACAUGCAGUCGAGCGACAGACAGGAGCUUGCUCCUUUGACGUUAGCGGCGGACGGGUGAGUAACACGUGGGUAACCUACCUAUAAGACUGGGAUAACUUCGGGAAACCGGAGCUAAUACCGGAUAAUAUUUCGAACCGCAUGGUUCGAUAGUGAAAGAUGGUUUUGCUAUCACUUAUAGAUGGACCCGCGCCGUAUUAGCUAGUUGGUAAGGUAACGGCUUACCAAGGCGACGAUACGUAGCCGACCUGAGAGGGUGAUCGGCCACACUGGAACUGAGACACGGUCCAGACUCCUACGGGAGGCAGCAGUAGGGAAUCUUCCGCAAUGGGCGAAAGCCUGACGGAGCAACGCCGCGUGAGUGAUGAAGGUCUUCGGAUCGUAAAACUCUGUUAUUAGGGAAGAACAUACGUGUAAGUAACUGUGCACGUCUUGACGGUACCUAAUCAGAAAGCCACGGCUAACUACGUGCCAGCAGCCGCGGUAAUACGUAGGUGGCAAGCGUUAUCCGGAAUUAUUGGGCGUAAAGCGCGCGUAGGCGGUUUUUUAAGUCUGAUGUGAAAGCCCACGGCUCAACCGUGGAGGGUCAUUGGAAACUG